UUCUUGAUAUUUCUUGAAUGCCUUACAUCUAGCCUUCUAGUUGUAUUUAUACAGCUUAUUGUAACCAUCUGUAACAACCUAAGAAGCUGCUACAAUUCUAACUACUUUCAGACAUCCCUAAAUGCUGUUAUUGACUUUUCCUGAAUCUAAUCCUCCUGUAUUAUACUACCCAUUUCUGCCUGUUUCUGAUACUUCGACAUGUUUGUGGACACCAAUGUUUGCAUUGUGUGGAUUUAUUUCCUGUAAUUUAAAUCCUGCAUAAAUUUGAGCUUUAAUGUCGUGAUGAAGCUGCCAUGCACAAGCUUAUCCAUAGACACAAGAUAUACAUCUCUUUCUCCUGAGCUAUUUACUGAGAUACAUCCACCUUUUCUGUGUUGUCUUGUUCUCUUAUUCUUUUUAGUGUUCUAUUUAUGUUUGUAUUUUUAAUUUCUGGUGAAGAGAACUCAGUGGCUUAACUCUUACGUAGGACUUUUUCCUUUUUAUUCACUAAAAAGGUAUUUACUUAAUUUGAUUCAUAGCUGAAUAGGUUAGUCAAGCAUGUCAUUCCUUUGACAACCAUGUGCUGCCUAAUCUAUUUCAGGCGGAUGUAAUAAUGGCCUUAG
rnacentral:misc_RNA from 1 species